GGGCGGUUAGCUCAGCGGUAGAGCACUACCUUGACAUGGUAGGGGUCGCAGGUUCGAACCCUGCACCGCCCACCA
rnacentral:tRNA from 1 species